rnacentral:tRNA from 1 species
GCACCGAGGUCGGCGGGCUUGGCCUCCACCGGUGUCGGCGGUGUGGGCACGAUCGUGCUGCUCGCGGUCGUGCUGGCCACCGCCGGUGCGC